UAAUACGUAGGGGGCCAGCGUUGCUCGGAAUUACUGGGCGUAAAGGGUCCGUAGGCGGUGUGGUAAGUCGAUAGUGAAAUCUCUGGGCUUAACCCAGAGGCUGCUAACGAAACUGCCAUGCUAGAGUGUGAGAGAGGCGAGUGGAAUUACGGGUGUAGCGGUGAAAUGCGUAGAUAUCCGUAGGAACAUCCGAGGCGAAAGCGGCUCGCUGGAUCACAACUGACGCUGAGGGACGAAAGCUAGGGGAGCAAACAGGAUUAGAUACCCUGGUAGUCCUAGCCCUAAACCAUCAGGACUUGGGGUUUGCCCUGUACGGGGCAAGUCCCGUAGCUAACGCGUUAAGUCCUGCGCCUGGGGAGUACGGUCGCAAGGCUG
rnacentral:rRNA from 1 species